AUUAAGCCAUGCAUGUUUCCGCAAUCAGGGACGAAUAGCUCAGUAAAACUGCGAUGAUUUAGUCUGGCUGUGUAGAUAACUACGUGAAAAUGUAGCUAAGGGAAGGCAGAAUCAGACUCAGGACUAUCAGUUAGUUGGUAGUGUAAUGGACUACCAAGACAGUGACGGUUGACGGGAAAUUAGGGUUUUGUACCGGAGAGGGAGCCUGAGAGAUUGCUCCCACGUCCAAGGACGGCAGCAGGCGCGAAAAUUGCCCACUCUUUGCAGGAGGCAGUUAUGAGACGUGAAGAUGAGUAUCUUGUAAAGAGGGAUAGGAGAAUUGGAGGGCAAGUUUGGUGCCAGCAGCCGCGGAAAUACCGACUCCAAGAGUGUGUAUGAGAGAUGCUGCAGUUAAAAAGUCCGUAGUCAUAGAAGGGCAAAGAGAGAUGCGAGGUCUCACAGUGCGAUGAUGGAGGAGCCGAUGGGGAACAUAGUAUACCAGGGCGAGAGAUGAAAUGCCAAGACCCCUGGUGGACUGAGCGAG
rnacentral:rRNA from 1 species